rnacentral:rRNA from 1 species
UGGGGAAUUUUGGACAAUGGGCGAAAGCCUGAUCCAGCAAUGCCGCGUGUGUGAAGAAGGCCUUCGGGUUGUAAAGCACUUUUGUCCGGAAAGAAAUCCUUGGCUCUAAUACAGUCGGGGGAUGACGGUACCGGAAGAAUAAGCACCGGCUAACUACGUGCCAGCAGCCGCGGUAAUACGUAGGGUGCAAGCGUUAAUCGGAAUUACUGGGCGUAAAGCGUGCGCAGGCGGUUUGCUAAGACCGAUGUGAAAUCCCCGGGCUCAACCUGGGAACUGCAUUGGUGACUGGCAGGCUAGAGUAUGGCAGAGGGGGUAGAAUUCCACGUGUAGCAGUGAAAUGCGUAGAGAUGUGGAGGAAUACCGAUGGCGAAGGCAGCCCCCUGGGCCAAUACUGACGCUCAUGCACGAAAGCGUGGGGAGCAAACAGGAUUAGAUACCCUGGUAGUCCACGCCCUAAACGAUGUCAACUAGUUGUCGGGUCUUCAUUGACUUGGUAACGUAGCUAACGCGUGAAGUUGACCGCCUGGGGAGUACGGUCGCAAGAUUAAAACUUAAAGGAAUUGACGGGGUCAUAGCUGUUUCCU